UGAGAAGAAAGAAGAGGAACGUAGUAGAAAAAGAGGCAGGAAGUAUGAAGAUAUAGCACGGGAAGAUAAACACUAUAGAAACAAAAAAAGAGUGUUCAGGAAGCAGAGGAGGGAGUUUUGAGUGAUAGCGAACAUACUGUAGAUGAAAGCUGUCGGAGGAGUGGGACGCUGAGAAGCGUCAGCAUUGUCAGAGCAUGUUCAGCCCUCAGGGACAGCCAGGGGCCGGCCGUCAGCCUUUAUUUGGAGAGCAGAAGCUUUUCCACACUACCUGAAAUCAGCUGAGAGGUUAAGUCGUGGUGUGUGCAAGCUGCCAGCAUCAGAUCAUCGUCCUCAAAGUGUGGGGGCAAGAAGGAAAGAUGUUGGGUGCCCCCCGGUGGAGACUGUUUACUGUGUGCAAAGUGCUCUCCGCUCUCCUUUCAGUGUUUGUUAGUUAAUCACCAUCUGCUGCUGCUGCAGUUAGUUGUAUAGCAAGAGUGGAGAGGAAAGGUGAGUAUUCUCAGUCAACCAGCUUCUCAUGCAAAUAAAUGGUUUUAAUGGCUCCACAGUGUGAUGAACAAAAAAGCUUCAAAAAUACUGGUUGACAGUUUGACUUGGUCCUGUCACUGAAGAUUAGCUUCCAUUAGCUACUACAGCACUGAUGGGUGG